UUAAGUUCAGCGGGUAGUCCUACCUGAUUUGAGGUCAAAUUGUCACGUAUUGUCCAAAUGAACAGACGGUUAGAAGCAGUACAAUCCCCAUAUAAUUGCAAACAUCCACGGCGUAGAUAAUUAUCACACCAAUAGACAGUCCACGCAGGGCGCACCAGCUAAUACAUUUAAGGGGAGCUGGCUAUCUACAAAGAAGCCAG
rnacentral:misc_RNA from 1 species